rnacentral:rRNA from 1 species
UACGUAGGGUGCAAGCGUUAAUCGGAAUUACUGGGCGUAAAGCGUGCGCAGGCGGUGAUGCAAGACAGAUGUGAAAUCCCCGGGCUUAACCUGGGAACUGCAUUUGUGACUGCAUGGCUGGAGUGCGGCAGAGGGGGAUGGAAUUCCGCGUGUAGCAGUGAAAUGCGUAGAUAUGCGGAGGAACACCGAUGGCGAAGGCAAUUCCCUGGGCCUGCACUGACGCUCAUGCACGAAAGCGUGGGGAGCAAACAGG